rnacentral:lncRNA from 1 species
UUAGGGACAGGCAAAGCGAGGUUCGGAGCAGGGAGGUUCGAGGAACCGAGAAGAAACAUUCAACAAAAAUCUCCCAAAGAGUCCUCUGGGCCAAGAGCCGCCUUCCCGGGACUGCGAUGGGGACCGCUGUUGAGCUCCGAACUCCCCAGAGAGAGUGGCCGGGCAAUCCCUGACCCAUUCUGAGGAGCACGGAAGACUUCCUGGAAGAGAUGAGGUACAUCAGUGCACUAGACACACUGGGCCAUCCUGUGACCACAAAGAGAUACGGACAAAGAGAUCUGAACAGAAAUGGCAAGGAGCUGGGUCCUUGGUGACAGUGAUGAACCCCUUGAUCAAACCUGUCCUGAAGCCUGUAAGAACCUCUGGACAUUCUGCUUUGAUGCUCCAAUAAAUUUCUCAUUGUUGAAGC